CCCACCCCAUCCACCGCGCGCUUGGGCGUGACGUCACCUCUGCCUGGGCCACCUCCGUUCUCUGUUCAAGUACAAUCCUAAUUUGGGCAAAGCCACGCUCAGUGGCUGGCGGCUCAUUAACAUAAUGUCUUCGUGAAAGCCGUCGCGAGUUUAUUGCGACGAGUUCGGCACCCACGCCCCAUCCCUCCACGUAGGGGCUGGGCUCAUUAACAUAAUUUAUUUAAGUCAAGACCCGCUCGUUGUGGUAAAGGAGUGUCUUGUACCGAUCAAGUGACGUCAAAAAACGAAAGAGUAAUCCCUGCAAUCACGUAAGCGCCAAAUCAAGUUUGACGUCAUGUCACCACCUGCUGCCGCGUGACCUCGCGAGGUAAAUGAGGCUGCCGCUCCGCCCGUGCACUGAAAUUCGAGGCCACGCCCUCGUUGAGCUGCUAUACCACUCUUGUUUUCAGAAGCGACCUGCCCACAACAACAACAAGCUGUCGCUUCCUCUGCAGAAUUGGUCUGAUGGAGCAAAGGCACUCGGCGCGGCUCGGUGCAAAAAGGCAACAAUGCAACCAGCGUGCAAACAGCACGGAUCGUACUGAACAUUUGACACAGCACCAGAGAACUCACACAGGAGAGAAACCCUUCAAGUGCAGCGUGUGUGGGAAGGCAUUUGCACGUUCAUCUACUCUUGUAGAACACCAGAAAAC